rnacentral:rRNA from 1 species
UACGAAGGGGGCUAGCGUUGCUCGGAAUCACUGGGCGUAAAGGGUGCGUAGGCGGGUCUUUAAGUCAGGGGUGAAAUCCUGGAGCUCAACUCCAGAACUGCCUUUGAUACUGAGGAUCUUGAGUUCGGGAGAGGUGAGUGGAACUGCGAGUGUAGAGGUGAAAUUCGUAGAUAUUCGCAAGAACACCAGUGGCGAAGGCGGCUUGCUGGGCCGGACCUGACGCUGAGACGCGAAGGCGUGGGGAGCGAACGGG